UACGUAGGGUCCGAGCGUUGUCCGGAAUUAUUGGGCGUAAAGAGCUCGUAGGCGGUCUGUCGCGUCGGCUGUGAAAACACGGGGCUCAACUCCGUGCCUGCAGUCGAUACGGGCAGACUAGAGUUCGGUAGGGGAGACUGGAAUUCCCAGUGUAGAGGUGAAAUUCGUAGAUAUUGGGAAGAACACCGGUGGCGAAGGCGGCCAUCUGGACCGCAACUGACGCUGAGGCGCGAAAGCUAGGGGAGCGAACAGG
rnacentral:rRNA from 1 species